GCUCCGUAGGUGAACCUGCGGAGGGAUCAUUACAGAGUUCAUGCCCUACCGGGUAGAUCUCCCACCCUAUGUUAUUAUUACUUUGUUGCUUUGGCGGGCCGUUAGGCUCCGGCCCGACUACCGGCCCCGGCUGGUAAGCGCCCGCCAGAGGACCCAAAACCCUGAAUUUUAGUGUCGUCUGAGUACUAUAUAAUAGUUAAAACUUUCAACAACGGAUCUCUUGGUUCUG
rnacentral:misc_RNA from 1 species